UAACACGUUCGACAAACUUCAGUAAAUUAAAUCAUUAAGAAAUACUAUAGCCUACCGUUUAACAAAUUUGAGUUAUAAUCUAUUGUUCAUUUAAACGGUUCGUGCCAUUUAGGGUAUGACUAUUUAAGCGUGGGCUACGUGACGUAAAGAUUGUAAUUAGCUCUAUAGCUACACUACAAUAAUGUUUGUUAAUGUCAUAGACAAGGGUUAUUGUAAAGUGUUCCUGUGUUGAUCGGUCAUACUCACCAUUUCUUCAUAUUGUGUGAAUGGCCGAAUGAAGUUCAGUCAGAUCUCGCCCUCAUGUGGGGGGACGCUUUCCUCUUCCCUCUCCUCUUCUUUACGCAAAUCUCUCUAAACUCACUCAAAACUUUAUGUUUGUUCCUUCAGUUUCAAACCGAUAAUAUUAAGAGGAACGUCAAAACAGUAAUUUAUCGUUAAGGAAAAAAACAACACUGCUAAUUAAGAAAGAAAGAAAGAAAGGGAGUUCUGCGCUAUCGUCAUUCGCAUGCACCGGGGCUCUAUAAAGCGAAAGAAGACCGUUGAAAAUAUAAGCUGUUUCAGUGGAUCCAGAAACCCAGCGCUGGUUUCGCUGUUCCAGAUCCGUUCGUUUAAGACACUCCACCGGGACUGAAGCGGGACAGGAGUAGGACUAAUUUGGGUGGGUUGUUUGAAGCAGCGGGGUAAAUCUCUGGCUGUCCGAGAAGAGAAAACUGUCUUACGGCUAUUUCUUCUGCAUAGUCAGCUCUCUUUGAUUGCUGCAUUACAUCCAAAGGAACAUGUGUGCACAGAGCUUGAUUCUCAAGAGUGAAGACUGAGGAAAGUCAAAUGACAGAUUCUCCUUUGGACCAAUAGAAACCCCUAAAUCCCAAGGCAGUCAUUUUGAUCAAACUGAGUGCCUACAAGCCCCACUCACAUGUUUGGUCAAGAGGUAAAUAAUAGAUCAGGGAUUAAACUUGUGUAGAAUUCAUUCUAGGGUAACAAGCUACACACUCCCAGGAUAUGCAUAUUCUUCUGAUGUCCAAGGCCAUGGCAGAGUAAAUACCAUAUGCCCAGUAGUUAGAGAGCUUAAAUCCCUAAUUAAAUGAGAUAUUACUGUACAUUGUUCCCUGAUAUUAAACAACAGAGAAGAGAAAAUAGACCUUUAAAGAAUUAUGAGUAAUGGAUGCAUUAGCAUGUUCACGUGGGUUCAGUUUCCUACAAAUGAGUAAUCCAGCGUUUGAUGUUUGAUGCAACUUGUAGCUCGUAGAUGGAGCAUUAAAUUGUUUUGAAAUCAA